rnacentral:rRNA from 1 species
CCUACGGGGGGCAGCAGUGAGGAAUAUUGGUCAAUGGACGAGAGUCUGAACCAGCCAAGUAGCGUGAAGGAUGAAUGCCCUAUGGGUUGUAAACUUCUUUUAUAUGGGAAUAAAAUGGUCCACGUGUGGGAUUUUGUAUGUACCAUAUGAAAAAGGAUCGGCUAACCCCGUGCCAGCAGCCGCGGUAAUACGGAGGAUCCGAGCGUUAUCCGGAUUUAUUGGGUUUAAAGGGAGCGUAGGUGGAUUGUUAAGUCAGUUGGGAAAGUUUGCGGCUCAACCGUAAAAUUGCAGUUGAAACUGGCAGUCUUGAGUACAGUAGAGGUGGGCGGAAUUCGUGGUGUAGCGGUGAAAUGCUUAGAUAUCACGAAGAACUCCGAUUGCGAAGGCAGCUCACUGGUCUGCAACUGACACUGAGGCUCGAAAGUGUGGGUAUCAAACAGGAUUAGAUACCCCUGUAGUC